CGGAGUGUAGCGCAGCCCGGUAGCGCACCUGUCUGGGGGACAGGGGGUCGUCGGUUCAAGUCCGGCCACUCCGACCA
rnacentral:tRNA from 56 species